GUGGGGAAUCUUGCGCAAUGGGCGAAAGCCUGACGCAGCCAUGCCGCGUGGAUGAUGAAGGUCUUAGGAUUGUAAAAUCCUUUCACCGGUGAAGAUAAUGACUGUAGCCGGAGAAGAAGCCCCGGCUAACUUCGUGCCAGCAGCCGCGGUAAUACGAAGGGGGCUAGCGUUGCUCGGAUUUACUGGGCGUAAAGGGCGCGUAGGCGGACAUUUAAGUCAGGGGUGAAAUCCCGGGGCUCAACCUCGGAACUGCCUUUGAUACUGGGUGUCUUGAGUAUGAGAGAGGGGUGUGGAACUCCGAGUGUAGAGGUGAAAUUCGUAGAUAUUCGGAAGAACACCAGUGGCGAAGGCGACACACUGGCUCAUUACUGACGCUGAGGCGCGAAAGCGUGGGGAGCAAACAGGAUUAGAAACCCGUGUAGUCC
rnacentral:rRNA from 1 species